AUUGAACGCUGGCGGCAUGCCUUACACAUGCAAGUCGAAGCGGCAGCGCGGGGGCAACCCUGGCGGCGAGCGGCGAACGGGUGAGUAAUACAUCGGAACGUGUCCAGUAGCGGGGAUAACCGUGCCGAAAGAUAGGCUAAGUACCGCAUACGACCUACGGGUGAAAAGCGGGGGACCGCAAGGCCUCGCACUAUUGGAGCGGCCGAUGUCGGAUUAGCUAGUUGG
rnacentral:rRNA from 1 species